rnacentral:rRNA from 1 species
CAUGCAAGUCGAACGGUGAAGCAGAGCUUGCUCUGUGGAUCAGUGGCGAACGGGUGAGUAACACGUGAGCAAUCUGCCCCUGACUCUGGGAUAAGCGCUGGAAACGGCGUCUAAUACCGGAUACGAGCUGCGACCGCAUGGUCAGUAGCUGGAAAGAAUUUCGGUCAGGGAUGAGCUCGCGGCCUAUCAGCUUGUUGGUGAGGUAAUGGCUCACCAAGGCGUCGACGGGUAGCCGGCCUGAGAGGGUGACCGGCCACACUGGGACUGAGACACGGCCCAGACUCCUACGGGAGGCAGCAGUGGGGAAUAUUGCACAAUGGGCGCAAGCCUGAUGCAGCAACGCCGCGUGAGGGAUGACGGCCUUCGGGUUGUAAACCUCUUUUAGCAGGGAAGAAGCGAAAGUGACGGUACCUGCAGAAAAAGCGCCGGCUAACUACGUGCCAGCAGCCGCGGUAAUACGUAGGGCGCAAGCGUUAUCCGGAAUUAUUGGGCGUAAAGAGCUCGUAGGCGGUCUGUCGCGUCUGCUGUGAAAACCCGAGGCUCAACCUCGGGCCUGCAGUGGGUACGGGCAGACUAGAGUGCGGUAGGGGAGAUUGGAAUUCCUGGUGUAGCGGUGGAAUGCGCAGAUAUCAGGAGGAACACCGAUGGCGAAGGCAGAUCUCUGGGCCGUAACUGACGCUGAGGAGCGAAAGGGUGGGGAGCAAACAGGCUUAGAUACCCUGGUAGUCCACCCCGUAAACGUUGGGAACUAGUUGUGGGGUCCAUUCCACGGAUUCCGUGACGCAGCUAACGCAUUAAGUUCCCCGCCUGGGGAGUACGGCCGCAAGGCUAAAACUCAAAGGAAUUGACGGGGACCCGCACAAGCGGCGGAGCAUGCGGAUUAAUUCGAUGCAACGCGAAGAACCUUACCAAGGCUUGACAUAUAGAGGAAACGUCUGGAAACAGUCGCCCCGCAAGGUCUCUAUACAGGUGGUGCAUGGUUGUCGUCAGCUCGUGUCGUGAGAUGUUGGGUUAAGUCCCGCAACGAGCGCAACCCUCGUUCUAUGUUGCCAGCACGUAAUGGUGGGAACUCAUGGGAUACUGCCGGGGUCAACUCGGAGGAAGGUGGGGAUGACGUCAAAUCAUCAUGCCCCUUAUGUCUUGGGCUUCACGCAUGCUACAAUGGCCGGUACAAAGGGCUGCAAUACCGUGAGGUGGAGCGAAUCCCAAAAAGCCGGUCCCAGUUCGGAUUGAGGUCUGCAACUCGACCUCAUGAAGUCGGAGUCGCUAGUAAUCGCAGAUCAGCAACGCUGCGGUGAAUACGUUCCCGGGUCUUGUACACACCGCCCGUCAAGUCAUGAAAGUCGGUAACACCUGAAGCCGGUGGCCCAACCCUUGUGGAGGGAGCCGUCGAAGGUGGGAUCGGUAAUUAGGACUAAGUCG